AAAACAAGGGAGGAGAGGACAAAC
rnacentral:piRNA from 1 species